rnacentral:rRNA from 1 species
AUCAGCAACCAUACUAUCUACAGUUCAGCCUAGGAAGUUCAUGUGAAACUAAGCAGGUUUGGACCUGGCCAGUACUCUGAUGGGAGAUCAACUAAGAAAGCUGGGUUGCUGCUGGAA